CACACACACACACACACACACACAAACACUCACUCACACACACACACACACACACACCCCUAAAAGGUUGCUACAAAACUUGGGCUUCCUGAGACGCGGUUGUUUUUGCACAGAGCGUGCACUGUAUAAAAAUUCCAGGAGGGGGAGGAAUCAGAAAGUUGAGAGCCAUUAAAAGAGAGAGAAGAAAAAGAAAGAAAGAGAAAGCCCCAGGCACUUGAUGCCUGGAAAUGAUGUAAGACGCAGCCACUCCUCAGUUAGAACCCAACAGCGGCGGGCGCUCAGAUCCACCGCAGCUGCUCUCCAAAUGUCAACGCCCGCGCCCGGGCAAAGCUUGAAACCCAUCCGGGCUGAAGGAGGCCCCUUCUCAUCCACAUUUUCCCCGGCCACGCUUAGCAACCUGGCAACAGCCCUGCUGGGUUCCUAUCUGCAUGGAUUACUGAAGAUUUCCACACUGCCAGACCAACUUCCCAGACAGCAGCCUCCAAGCCCCAGCUACACCCAGGAAAACGCCAGCGGCAGUGUUUUUAGGCUGUCUGAUUCUCUCAGAUACUGCCUCACCCCUUCCUCUGUUGGACAGGAAUGGAAGCCCAUAGUUGUGGGCUGCUGUUAGCCCAAGGACCCGGUAUUCCUCGGUUCUGCAUCUGGAAACCGUACCCGGAAACGGAGAGGUUCAGAUCAAACCAGACUGAGAGAAGGACAUCCAUUCACUGAGGAGGUAUGAAGUACACAGACAGGCAUUCUUGUCCGUCUCAUCCACAGAUGACACUGCAGUUCCUAGAACAGGUUGAUGGAUUCCUCUACUGAUGUCUAAGACAGAUAUUGCGGCUGGAGAUCCAUGCAGGUUCAGAGCUGUCUCACAGCAAGAUGUCACGUGGGAGUAAACUCAAGAGCGCUCAAAACCAGCUGGGACCAGCUUGACUGCAGCUCCAUGAAUUCCUUGGCUCAAGUCCUUCAAGCCUCUUCCCACCUCCAUGCGUUCCCCAUCCAUCAAGCUGCAAAACUCGUGUGAAACCCACCCCUUCCUGUAAGCAGCCUUUCCCUCCCCCCACCAAAAAGAUGAAAGACAGCUCCAGGGCAUGACUGGCACACUCCCAACGCACAGGAACACACCCCAAAAACAAACACAAGACUCACAAGAAGAAAAUGUCACGUUCUCUAAAGACCCCAAGAAGAUCCAGAUGUAGAACUCGCAGUUCCUUCUCCAGCAGCAUGUCUGCCUGCACGCUGCCAUGCCUCCCGCCAUGAUGACAACGAACUAAACCUCUGAAACUCUGCCUCGAGGGAGCUUGUCACAAUGCUCUGCCUUAAUACAAGCCUACAGUAACAGAGCCAGCCGACACUGGACUGCGACCCUGAGCCAAACCGAGUCCCCAUUCAGUUGCUUUGUGCAGUGAUGAGCAACUGACAGCGGUCAAUGGGUUUUCUCUUCCUACAUCAAACCUGUUGGAUAUAGGUGGCUCACAGACCUUUAGUUCACAAACUUUGAUGUCUUCUCAACCUCACUUGGAUAGCAAAGAUCUCAAACUUGUGCGUGGAAGUUAUGAGGUCGUUGAUGGUGAACAUGGCUUUACAGAGGAUGCAAAUACCUCAUGUGAGGUAGAUGAACUGAGGCUGCCUUCCCAUAGGGAAAUGGUAUCUUGGUCACUCCUCUUGAUGUAUGUGGGCUCUGUGACUGCUUUGACCAACAGAAUAGAGUAGAUGUGAACACUGAGUAUUUGGACUUGGACCUUAAGACUUCCUGUCAUGAACACACUCUCUAAGACUCCUGACAUGUUAGAGGUUUAGAAACCACAAGGCUAGAGGUGUAACUUACAAUAUCAGUUAGCAUUGGGCCUUUGUUCCAGCCAUCCAAACCAAGGAGUCAGGCCCAUGAGUGAUGACAUCACAGAUCCCCUGGUUUAGGCCACCUGUGAUGGCUAGCUUUCCUCUCAACCUGAUUGGGCCUUGUGGAUUUGGUCAAGCACUGUUUCGGGUGUAUAUGUGAAGGCUUCUCUGGAUGAGAUUAGUGUUUGAAUUAGUGACUGGGUAAAGCAGACUGCCCACUCUGAUGUAGCUGAGUCUCAUCCAGUCUGCUAAAGGCCGGAAUAGAGCUGAAAGGUGGACUGUGGGGGAAUUCUCCAUCUCUCUGCUGGGACACUGGUCUCCUGCCUUUAGACUUGGACUGGAAUUCAUGUUUUUCUACCUGGUUACCAGAUCUCUGGACUUAGAACUAUAGUACCAGAUCUGCCUUUUAUUGCAGAUCUUGGGACUUCCAGUCUCCCUAAUCAGUGAGUCAGCUCUGAAACACCUUAGCACCCCAGCUUCUGGAUACACACAGGACAGAAGAGUCACUGCUGAACAUGGCCAAAACCCUUCAUGCAAAACUGUAUAUUUGAUCAGUUUUCCUCCCUGUGACAAAACAAAAUACCCAAGGGAACUAACUUAAAAAGGAGAAAGAAGCUGUUGUCUCGGCCAGGCAAAGCUGCCACCUUCUAUGAAACUGCUCCCAGAAUUUUAUUCAACCCGUCCUGGGAAUGCACCUCAAGGGCAUGGAAUCCAGAGCUUCGAUACAAAAACACAGCUCUCGCCUCAAAGGAAAUAAGACUUUGGAGCCAGAUGUGAGUGACCAUGGUCUAGGACCCCCCCUUCCUUCCAGUGUGGUAACAGUUUGAUGACGUUUAUAUAGUUACAGAACAAAGAAAGUCAUGAAACAAGACACUUUAAAGUAGAUGGGUGAGAACAUUAGAUGUGACUUCCAAGGUGUGGCUCUGCUAUUGGGCAUAAAUGCUACUGGAUGGCAUUCUUAGCCUCUGGGCUGGUGGAAGCUAGUGGUCUGUUAGUACACUGUAAAAGGGCUUAACUGGAGAUAACUCCUGGGUCCUCACCACAGUCUCAGUAAGGCACCAAGUUAGCCCAACUUGGUGGGCAACGAUGGCUUUUAAGGGGCUAAGGAAAGAUGAAGAUAGUUGGGCCCCAGAUCCAAAGCAUUACAACUCUCCACAACCCCAGAUUCUAACUAGGCAAUCAGCUUCAUAGGUGGACUAUCUUCCUAUCCUCCUUCAAUCGUCCUCUCGCCCCUAAUACCUUUCUUCCUUUUGUCGUUUUUAAAGGCAGGGUUUCACUGCACAGCCCUGACAGGUUCACAACUCAGGACUCAAAGAGAUCUUCCUGCCGGCGCUGGCACAUCAGGCUAGCUUUUGUACGCUUUAACACAGCGAGGUUUAUUGUAUUUGCUGGGCACUGCGUCACACUCGCCGACUGGUUCUGUGGACCUGAUUUCAUGGAAGUGGGUUUAUAGCAUGACUCUAGCAAAACUUGAUCCUUUAACAAGAACUCACCUCACCGUGUCAGGGCUGCCUCAUUUUCCUAACAGUCACCUGUUCAAGACUGUGCCCACUGCACUCUGAUCGGUGCGCACCACUCCCAUGGGGUGCACAAUACCAUGCUUGUCCUCUUUGAAUGUGUAACAUUUGAAAGCACAGGGGGCAGGAGGCAGAUGUAAGCACACCUUUGAUCUCCCAUCCUUGCGGGUUAGGGAGGGCAGACACCUGGCGGUUGUGGUUGCAAACUGGAAACAACGCUGGCUGGCGGGGACCGGAAUGACCAGAAACGCGGCCGGGCCGCUGCCCGGUUGCUUGGGCAGCUGGAGCUGGUUGUGUGUGUGCAGGCAGAAGGCCUGGUCCCGGGCAGCACCCGGAACGACAGAGCUGGGGCGCCAAGGGCAGACACUUCCUAGGCAGGAGGCCAGGAAAGAUCCGGCAGCUGCGUUGAGCAAAGUCAACAAGGAUGCAGUGACUGCAGCUGUGCACCGAUGCCACGGCUAUCUUGGUGACGAUGCAGGGAGCUUCUAGAAAGGGUAUCUAGAGCGCUCUCUUUCCUUUGCGGAACAAUUAAGGAUUUCAUCCUGGCACCAAGAUGCCACAAUGCUUGCUUUCAAGUUCCCGAGUCUUCGGCGAGAUUGUACUGCCCCCUGCCGUUUAGGUGCUGUCAUUACGCCAUUCCCCGGGCAGUCAGAGCCGUUAAUCACACCAUCAAUGGUGCGGCUUCCGGUUUCCCUUGCACGGUGGGAGGGGGGUCUAGCAGCGCAGGGUUGAAACCCAGUUUUAAAUUCCCAAGUCAGACCUGGGAGGGAACUUCAGAAUUAAAGUCCUUCCUUCCCCACGCUGAGCCGGGUCUUCUGAGAUGUUCCACAAGCUUUGAUCAGUCAGUUGUUAAUGUGGUUUCUGCACUCCCGGGUCUUUUCAGGGUCAACCCAAAAAAACGAGGCCUGGGCUGGAAAAAAAUCUUUCCUGACAUCGCUUCAGCAAUUGGCACGUGACAGCAGGAGAACUGGACCUUCUAAUGAAACAUCCAGUGAUGUACAUGGAUCAUGAGUUCUACACAGCUCACAGAUCAUACCUCGGCUUCCUUAGAAUUCCAGUGCAUUCCAGCAAGACUGACUGCUGAGAACUGUCAGCCUGGCCUUCGGCACCCCGAUGGCUGUGCUGACGACAUUGCCUGAAACAGAGGGACUUUGGCCUGGCAGUGGAUGAACUACAGGUGGUAUUUGUUUAUCAGAAACCUCUUUUAAUUUGCCUCAAUGAUUAACUAACUGCCUUGGGCAGAGGGUGUUUAGUUGCCUGUCAAUCCUAACAUCCAGUAUCUGCUCAAAAACCCCACCCUGCUGCCUUGUACAAAAUCCCUUUCUCCUCCUCUAGCCUGUUCUCCUUUGUCCCUGGAGAGAGAGAGCCUUGGCAUUUGGAUCCCCAAUAAACCUUUAUUUCUACCCAUGGAGUGGUCUAGUAAGUGGUCUUGUUGUGCCCUGGCUUACACUAUGAGCAGUGGAAGGAGGAGCAGCCAUGGAGUUUUGGGGGACACCCUUGUCAAAGCAGUUUGAGUAAUUCCCUGAGAACCACUAGGCAGAGCCUAGAGAGGAGGAACACUGCUGCGAUUCUGAUGGAAGAGAAUCUUACUUGGGCUGUAUCUGUCUGAAAGGUUAGUCUUCCCUGUCAACGUCAUAGCCAAUCUCCAAAGGAGGAAAGACAGAAUUUGCCACUUGAUAAAAUCAAUCAAGAAUCCGAAUGUGAUGGAGAUUUUCAAAGGAUCAAUCAGACAAGGAAACUGUAAUCACACAAGUAGUGUCGUCAUGUUGAAUAUUCCGGUGGCCACAGUCUGAGGUUCGGUAUUGUCUCUAAAGCAUUGCCUUUUCCCUCUGAGCAUUUGAAACAAAAGACAACAUUGCUCAGAAACCUAUGUAACCUUGUAAAUAUUAACCGUCUUCCUUGCUCUUUAAUUUAGCUGUCAUCUUAACAAGGUCUCUGCAGAUUUAACACAAGCAGAAAAAUUGAAUUAAAGCAGGGAUAUUUUAGGAAAUGGAGAGAAAGGAGGUGGGGACAUGGCAAAGUGUGUUUCUUUACUUCUCAGUCUUAUGCUGCAAAGCCUUAAUACCUCCAAUAAGAGAUGAGCACAAACCAAGAAACCAAGAGCUCUUUGUGUAACAUAAAAUAAUUGCUUCUAGGUCUCUGCCACUGUCUGAUGACAUGUAACGGCAAGUGUAGCAUGAGGAAGCUCCAUAAGGGUGCUUUUGGAAGCCUGGUCAUGUUGGUGAAGUGUGCAGCCCUUUUCAGAAUGCACCAGGAAGUCCUAACUUAAGUGACCAAGCAAGUGUAGAGGAAGACUGUCAUGCAAUUGUUUUUAAGACCAUAGCGAAGCACAAUGUCCAUGUUAUUACAUCUUGUUACUGCUUUUGGUCUUUGUGUUUGCAUGUGUGCUGUGUAAGUGGUGGAGCCCAGAAAGGCACUGGGUGUCUUUUUCUAUUGCAUUCCACCUUAUAUUUUGAGACAGAUUUUUCAGUUGACAGGAAGCUCACUGUUUGGCCAUAGAGCUCUUAAGGGAGCAGAGACAGGCAUAGCCUAACACUGGGGUCACAGGCACACAAGGCUGUGCUUGGCUUUCACAUGGGUGGUGCAAACUCAUAUCCAUGUGAUUGCACGGCAAGCGCACUUAUCCGCCGAGUCAUCUCUCAAGCCCCUUACAGUUAUUAUUUAAAUAAUAUGUUAACGACUGUAAUAGUAUUCUAUCUUUUUCAUUUUAGUAGAUCAUGGAGCAAACAGAGUACUUAUUCCCUUAUGUCAAUGCUGGAUAGCCCUGAGGGUUGUACAUGAGAGUGUUUUCUUUCCUGCAAUUUUUCUUUUCCCUUACAGGCGUUCGCUAAAGAACCAGUGACGAAUUAUCUCAGAAGGGACAGACAGCAGGGCAAGAUCAAAGAAAAUCACCAGUUGAGGUUCUAAUUUGGUUUGCCUCCUUCACUGUGCUCAGGGGCUGGGAUCCUCACAGAGUACACGCGCCAGAAGUUCUAUGGAGAUCAGAGUAAAGUCUCCAAAGAUGUUAAAGUCUCAUAACUGUAAAUGUCGUCUUAUGUAGCAGAAGGGACAUUGUGGAGGCAUUAAAGAUCUUGAGAUGGGAGAUCCUGGAUUAUGGGGGUGGACCUAAUCCCAAUUCAGAGAUCCUCAGACAUGAAAGAGUAGGCCCCACACCCAAGAGAAGUUAGCCAAUGUAAACUGCACUCAAUGGGUUUAGAGAGAGAGAGAACAAGAAGUUGGGUGGGUAAGAAGACUGAGGUAAGAAGACUGAGGUAAGAAGACUGAGGUAAGAAGACUGAGGUAGAUCUGGGAGAAACUGGGGUAAAUGAUUAAGAAAACAUUCUAUAAAAAUUUCAAAGGCUUAAUGUUAUUCUAAAAAUAAAACAAAAAGAAAAAACA